UACGGGGGGGGCAAGCGUUGUUCGGAAUUACUGGGCGUAAAGGGCUCGUAGGCGGCCAACUAAGUCGGCCGUGAAAUCCCCAGGCUCAACCUGGGAACUGCGUCCGAUACUGGAUGGCUUGAAUCCGGGAGAGGGAUGCAGAAUUCCAGGUGUAGCGGUGAAAUGCGUAGAUAUCUGGAGGAAUACCGGUGGCGAAGGCGGCAUCCUGGGCCGGCAUUGACGCUGAGGAGCGCAAGCCAGGGGAGCGAACGGG
rnacentral:rRNA from 1 species